UACGGGGGGGGCAAGCGUUGUUCGGAAUUACUGGGCGUAAAGGGCUCGUAGGUUGCCAACUAAGUCAGACGUGAAAUCCCUCGGCUUAACCGGGGAACUGCGUCGGAUACUGGAUGGCUUGAAUUCGGGAGAGGGAUGUGGAAUUCCCGGUGUAGCGGUGAAAUGCGUAGAUAUCGGGAGGAACAUCAGUGGCGAAGGCGGCCUUCUGGUCCAGUACUGACACUCAAGUGCGAAAGCGUGGGGAGCAAACAGG
rnacentral:rRNA from 1 species